rnacentral:rRNA from 1 species
GACGAACGCUGGCGGCGUGCUUAACACAUGCAAGUCGAACGAAGCUUGAUUACGGAUUCUUCGGAUGAAGUAUGAUAUGACUGAGUGGCGGACGGGUGAGUAACGCGUGAGUAACCUGCCCUUCAGAGGGGGAUAGCGUUUGGAAACGAACGGUAAUACCGCAUAAUGUAUUUUGACCGCAUGAUCGAAAUACCAAAGCUUUAUCGCUGAAGGAUGGACUCGCGUCUGAUUAGGUAGUUGGUGGGGUGACGGCCUACCAAGCCGACGAUCAGUAGCCGGACUGAGAGGUUGAGCGGCCACAUUGGGACUGAGACACGGCCAAGAAUCCUACGGGAGGCAGCAGUGGGGAAUAUUGCACACGGGGCGCAAGCCUGAUGCAGCAACGCCGCGUGAAGGAAGACUGUUUUCGGAGUGUAAACUUCUGUUCUUAGAGAAGAAUAAUGACGGUAGCUAAGGAGAAAGCCACGGCUAACUACGUG